rnacentral:rRNA from 1 species
CCAGAAAUCUAGCCUAAAAUAUAAUCAAAUAAAUACACCUUUUAUAGUCUUUUUAGUUAAAACAUUUUAACUGUUAAGUAGAGGAGAUCAAAAACACCUAAGAGCUUAAGAGAUAGUACCGCAAGGGAAACAUGAAAUAAAAAUGAAACAAAUCUAAAGCCUAUAAUAGCAGAGACUGUACCUCGUACCUUUUGCAUCAUGGUCUAGCUAGUCUAACCAGGCAAAAUGAAAAUUUAGUCUGCCAUCCCGAAACUAAGCGAGCUACUUCAAAACAGCCAUAGAGCCAACCCUUCCCUGUAGCAAAAGGGUGGGAAGAUUUUUAAGUAGAAGUGAUAAACCUAUCGAGCUUAGAGAUAGCUGGUUAUUCAGAAAAAGAAUAUUAGUUCUGCCUUAAAUCUCCACAUGUUAACAAACCUACAAAAAGAUUUUUAGAGUUACUCAAUUAAGGAACAGCUUAAUUGAAAAAGGAUACAACCUAAACAACAGGGUAAAUUAACCCAUGCUACACAAGUGGGCCUAAAAGCAGCCACCUUUUAAAAAGCGUUAAAGCUUAAUUUAACCUUAUAUAAACCCCUCAAUUAUUUAUGAACCCUUACCCCUUACUGAAUGAUUUUAUAAUAUAUAAAAAACACCAUGCUAGAACUAGUAACAAGAAUUCAACAUUCUCCAAAAUGCAAGUGUAAGCCAAAAUGGAUCCCCCAUUGGCAAUUAACGAAAAUGAGUAAUCUGCAGUAACAUAACAAGAAAAAUCUGCACUUUACAAUCGUUAACCUAACACCAGAACAUUCCCGGAAAGAUUAAAAGAAAAAGAAGGAACUCGGCAAAUUUCAACCCCGCCUGUUUACCAAAAACAUCGCCUCUUGCCAACAAUAAGAGGUCCAGCCUGCCCAGUGAUAGAAUUCAACGGCCGCGGUACCCUAACCGCGCGAAGGUAGCACAAUCACUUGUUCUUUAAAUAGGGACUUGUAUCAACGGCACCACGAGGAUUGUACUGUCUCCUUUCUCUAAUCAGUGAAACUGAUCUCCCCGUGAAAAAGCGGGGAUACAUAUAUAAGACGAGAAGACCCCAUGGAGCUUUAAACCUACAGCAACUCAAUUAUAAAAUUCUUCACAAUCUUAGAGAAAUGACUAUUGGUUUUAGGUUGGGGUGACCACGGAGUAAAAACUAACCUCCACAACGCACAAACCUAAAUUUUUAUUUAAGAGCCACAACUCUAAAAAUUAGCACACUAACGUAUACUGAUCCGAUAAUCGAUUAAUGAACCAAGUUACCCUGGGGAUAACAGCGCAAUCUAUUUAAAGAGUUCAUAUCGACAAAUAGGCUUACGACCUCGAUGUUGGAUCAGGGUAUCCCAGUGGUGCAGCCG